rnacentral:rRNA from 1 species
ACAAGUACCGUGAGGGAAAGUUGCAAAGCACUUUGAAGAGAGAGUUAAAGAGGACGUGAAACCGGUAAGGUGGAAACGGAUAGAGUCGGCGUAUCAUCUCAAGUAUUCAGUUACAUUAUUUUUAUGUUGUGACCUCUGAGCUCCAGAUUGGGACAGAGGGAAUCAGCAUAAUUUUUUGUGAUGCAUUUACUUGAUUGGUGCUUGGGGAUGUUUGAGGCAGAUUUGUUUCCGUCGUUUUGAGGCCAGCUUGCUGGUACCCAAACGGUGUUAGCAUUUUUUGUCUUGGGCAUUUGAGUAUGGCUCACGUGUAUUUAUUGGACAGAUCUGAGUGUAAGUUACGGUCGCAUGCGACACGUGCUUUUCAAUUAGUUCGGUCCAGUUAAUGCUCUCGUACUCGUUCCCCAUGUAAAAGCCGGUCAUCUAUCCGACCCGUCUUGAAACACGGACCAAGGAGUUUAUCGUGUGCGCAAGUUUUUGGGUGUUAAAAACUUAAAAGCGAAAUGAAAGUAAAUGGCUCUUUAGAGUCUGAUGUGCGAUCUUGUAAAAAAGUGUAGCAUGGCCCCAUUCUAACUGUUUACAGUAGGGUGGCGGAAGAGCGUACGCGGUGAGACCCGAAAGAUGGUGAACUAUUCCUGAGCAGGACGAAGCCAGAGGAAACUCUGGUGGAAGUCCGAAGCGGUUCUGACGUGCAAAUCGAUCGUCUGACUUGGGUAUAGGGGCGAAAGACUAAUCGAACCAUCUAGUAGCUGGUUCCUUCCGA